rnacentral:rRNA from 1 species
AACGAACGCUGGCGGCAUGCCUAACACAUGCAAGUCGAACGAAGGCUUCGGCCUUAGUGGCGCACGGGUGCGUAACGCGUGGGAAUCUGCCCUUAGGUUCGGAAUAACAGCUGGAAACGGCUGCUAAUACCGGAUGAUAUCGCGAGAUCAAAGAUUUAUCGCCUGAGGAUGAGCCCGCGUUGGAUUAGGUAGUUGGUGGGGUAAAGGCCUACCAAGCCGACGAUCCAUAGCUGGUCUGAGAGGAUGAUCAGCCACACUGGGACUGAGACACGGCCCAGACUCCUACGGGAGGCAGCAGUGGGGAAUAUUGGACAAUGGGCGAAAGCCUGAUCCAGCAAUGCCGCGUGAGUGAUGAAGGCCCUAGGGUUGUAAAGCUCUUUUACCCGGGAAGAUAAUGACUGUACCGGGAGAAUAAGCCCCGGCUAACUCCGUGCCAGCAGCCGCGGUAAUACGGAGGGGGCUAGCGUUGUUCGGAAUUACUGGGCGUAAAGCGCACGUAGGCGGCUUUGUAAGUCAGAGGUGAAAGCCCCGGGCUUAACCUGGGAACUGCAUUUGAUACUGGUAGGCUAGAGUAUGGUAGAGGGGGGUAGAAUUCCUAGUGUAGCGGUGAAAUGCGUAGAUAUUAGGAGGAAUACCAGUGGCGAAGGCGGCCCCCUGGACCAAUACUGACGCUGAGGUACGAAAGCGUGGGUAGCGAACAGGAUUAGAUACCCUGGUAGUCCACGCCGUAAACGAUGUCAACUAGCCGUUGGGACCUUGAGGUCUCAGUGGUGCAGCUAACGCGUGAAGUUGACCGCCUGGGGAGUACGGCCGCAAGGCUAAAACUCAAAUGAAUUGACGGGGGCCCGCACAAGCGGUGGAGCAUGUGGUUUAAUUCGAUGCAACGCGAAGAACCUUACCUACCCUUGACAUUGACAGAAUCCAGUAGAGAUACAGGAGUGCCUUCGGGCCUGGAAAACAGGUGCUGCAUGGCUGUCGUCAGCUCGUGUCGUGAGAUGUUGGGUUAAGUCCCGCAACGAGCGCAACCCUUAUCCUUAGUUGCCA